rnacentral:lncRNA from 1 species
CUCUGCCACUGCCCAGCCCAGAGCACAGGCAUCGCUUGAAAGCCAGGCUCUCUCUCCUCGAGCUGCGGGUCGAACCUGCCCCCAGCAGCAUUUGGGGCUGGCAGAGAAACGGCAAGCAGGGGGCUAGAUUCCAAAUUUUUCCUUUAGCUUCUUUCUCUAAUCCUACAGAGACUGGAUUCCAAAAUUCAUCCUCUUCAUGGAGCCGGUGUCCCCUAGCAGAAACUGACUUCUGUUGACGAACCUCAUCACAGACAGGAAUUAAAAGGGAUUGUUGGCAGAAGAGAAAAAAAAGACGGCUUCAAGCCACUCAAAACCCAGAAAAGCUUGAAAUUUCAUAUCUGCAAGCAGAGGCUUAUUACGUCAAGAGGCAGAAGAGGUGGAGAUUAAAUGAGGCAUCUGGUCUCUUGGGCCUUGGAAGUCGAAGGGAAAUGCCCUCAUCCCGUCAACCACUACCAGCAAAAUACACCCACACAGAAAAAGAGGCUUUUUAUUCUUGAGUGCUGACUUCAGCGGUGGACACCUAAGUUUCAGAAAAGAGGUGGAUUCUCUGCCAACCAGCUUGGCUACGAAUGAUUAAGUUUGCCAGUUCUCCACUGCACAGCAGAGCGUAAUGGGCAAAGUGAAGUGCAGUUUAUCUUGAAAUACUACAGAUAUAUUAAGAAUGAAUCUACACAAAUGUUUCUGUGAAGAACUGAAUCCAGAGCUUGCACAUGACAUAUAUAACCUUAUCCAUUUCUGUCUGCUAACCUCACUAGUAAAUGGA